rnacentral:rRNA from 1 species
CCGACUGCUAUUUGGGUGAGGAUAAACCAUGCGAGUUGUAUGGGAUACCUAAAUUUCCCAUAGCAAACUGCUUGGUAACACAUGAUCAACUUACCCUAUGGAGAAAUAUAACCUCGGGAAACUGAGGAUAAUGCUUCAUAGUUGAAUAGGCUUGGAAAAGUUUUUCAAUAAAAGGGAUAAGAAAAAUGGUUCUUAUCUGCCAUAGGAUAGGAUCGUGCUCGAUUAUGGUUGUUGGUGAGGUAACGGCUCACCAAGCCGAUAAUCGAUAGGGGCCGUGAGAGCGGGAGCCCCAAGAUGGGUACUGAGACAGCGACCCAGGCCUUACGAGGCGCAGCAGGUACGAAACCUCCGCAAUACACGAAAGUGUGACGGGGUUACCCAAAGUGUUCUUAUAGAACUGUGGCAGGUGAGUAAUGUCCCCUGCUAGAAAGGAGAGGGCAAGGCUGGUGCCAGCCGCCGCGGUAAAACCAGCUCUUCAAGUGGUCGGGAUAAUUAUUGGGCUUAAAGUGUCCGUAGCCGGUUUAGUAAGUUCCUGGUAAAAUCAGGUAGCUUAACUAUCUGUAUGCUAGGAAUACUGCUAUACUAGAGGGCGGGAGAGGUCUGAGGUACUACAGGGGUAGGGGUGAAAUCUUAUAAUCCUUGUAGGACCACCAGUGGCGAAGGCGUCAGACUGGAACGCGCCUGACGGUGAGGGACGAAAGCCAGGGGAGCGAACCGGAUUAGAUACCCGGGUAGUCCUGGCCGUAAACGACGCAUACUAGGUGUUGGUACGGCCAUGAGCCGUGUCAGUGCCGUAGGGAAACCGUUAAGUGUGCCGCCUGGGAAGUACGGUCGCAAGGCUAAAACUUAAAGGAAUUGGCGGGGGAGCACCACAAGGGGUGAAGCCCGCGGUUCAAUUGGAUUCAACGCCGGG